rnacentral:rRNA from 1 species
AGGACGAACGCUGGCGGCGUGCCUAAUACAUGCAAGUCGAACGGUCUUUCUAUGGAAGCUUGCUUCCACUGAGAAGAUAGUGGCGAACGGGUGAGUAACACGUGGGUAACCUGCCCAUAAGAGGGGGAUAACAUCCGGAAACGGGUGCUAAUACCGCAUAGUUUUCUUGAUCGCAUGAUCGGGAAAGGAAAGACGGCCUUUGUGCUGUCGCUUAUGGAUGGACCCGCGGCGUAUUAGUUAGUUGGUGAGGUAACGGCUCACCAAGACGAUGAUACGUAGCCGACCUGAGAGGGUGAUCGGCCACAUUGGGACUGAGACACGGCCCAAACUCCUACGGGAGGCAGCAGUAGGGAAUCUUCCGCAAUGGACGAAAGUCUGACGGAGCAACGUCGCGUGAGUGAAGAAAGGUUUUCGGAUCGUAAAACUCUGUUGUCAGAGAAGAACAAGUUGGAGAGUAACUGCUCCAGCCUUGACGGUAUCUGACCAGAAAGCCACGGCUAACUACGUGCCAGCCGCUGC